rnacentral:rRNA from 1 species
CGNNAGGGGUAAWCGUGAGAAACCCGAAAGGUCGAAAGGGGAAAUUCAUUCGCGUUUCGACGAAGGCGUCGAGUGGGGUCGAGUGACGGAAUUCGUUUCGGCGUGUUUCGCACCCUCUGCUCUUCGAACCGACGGCGAACGCGUGCACUUUUCCCCUGGUAGGACGUCGCGAUCCGUUGGGUGUCGAUUUACGGCUCGCGGUGGAGCCCGUUUGUCAUUACGUACGAACGGACCCGCGUGUCCCAGUCGACUUGCUCGACGGUAUACGAAAGGUUCGAGGCCGCUCCUGGAGCGUUCGGCUCUCGGCAAGCGCGUCAGAUGCGUCGGCGACCGGACCUAGUGCCGAUUCCGACCCCUGAUGACUGUUGGCCGGGAAGUUCUCGGACAGACCUCGUGACCGAUCUGCGGCGCUAUAGCUUUGGGUACUUUCAGGACCCGUCUUGAAACACGGACCAAGGAGUCUAGCAUGUGCGCGAGUCAUUGGGAAUUAUUAAACCUAAAGGCGAAAUGAAAGUAAAGGUUUUCCUUGCGAAGACCGAGGGAAGACGAGCGGUUUACCCUUAAAAGUGGCCGCUCAGCAUUCCCGGGGCGUCUCGUUCUCAUCACGAGAAGAGGCGCACCAAGAGCGUACACGCUGGGACCCGAAAGAUGGUGAACUAUGCCUGGUCAGGACGAAGUCAGGGGAAACCCUGAUGGAGGUCCGUAGCGAUUCUGACGUGCAAAUCGAUCGUCGGAACUGGGUAUAGGGGCGAAAGACUAAUCGAACCAUC